rnacentral:rRNA from 1 species
GGCAAGUCGAACGGUGAAGCCCCUUCGGGGUGGAUCAGUGGCGAACGGGUGAGUAACACGUGGGCAAUCUGCCCUGCACUCUGGGACAAGCCCUGGAAACGGGGUCUAAUACCGGAUAUGACCUGAGGAUGCAUGUUCUCGGGUGGAAAGCUCCGGCGGUGCAGGAUGAGCCCGCGGCCUAUCAGCUUGUUGGUGGGGUGAUGGCCUACCAAGGCGACGACGGGUAGCCGGCCUGAGAGGGCGACCGGCCACACUGGGACUGAGACACGGCCCAGACUCCUACGGGAGGCAGCAGUGGGGAAUAUUGCACAAUGGGCGAAAGCCUGAUGCAGCGACGCCGCGUGAGGGAUGACGGCCUUCGGGUUGUAAACCUCUUUCAGCAGGGAAGAAGCGCAAGUGACGGUACCUGCAGAAGAAGCACCGGCUAACUACGUGCCAGCAGCCGCGGUAAUACGUUAGGGUGCGAGCGUUGUCCGGAAUUAU